UUAAAGAGUUCUAUAACUCCCAAACCCAUGUGAACAUACCUAACGUUGCCUCGGCAGGUCGCACCUACCUUGUAGCACCCUACCCUGUAGGGCCUACCCGGGAGGUGCGGGUAAGCCUGCCGGCGGCCCACCAAACUCUGUUUGAUAUUGAAUUCUGAACCUAUAACUAAAUAAGUUAAAACUUUCAACAACGGAUCUCUUGGUUCUGGCAUCGAUGAAGAACGCAGCGAAAUGCGAUAAGUAAUGUGAAUUGCAGAAUUCAGUGAAUCAUCGAAUCUUUGAACGCAUAUUGCGCCCAUUAGUAUUCUAGUGGGCAGGACCGUUCGAGCGUCAUUUCAACCCUUAAGCCUUCGUUGCUUAGUGUUGGGAGCCUACGGCAACGUAGCUCCUCAAAGUUAGUGGCGGAGUUGGUUCACACUCUAGACGUAGUAAUUUUUUAUCUCGCCUAUUAGUUGGACUAAUCCCCUGCCGUAAAACCCCCAAUUUAUAUCAAGGUUGACCUCGAAUCGGUUCAGACAAACUCGCUAAAUUGAAGCAUCUUAGUCAGCGAAGGAAAAGAAACCAACAGGGAUUGCCCUAGUAACGGCGAGUGAAGCGGCAACAGCUCAAAUUUGAAAU
rnacentral:rRNA from 1 species